GAUGAACGCUGGCGGCGUGCCUAAUACAUGCAAGUCGAGCGAAUGGAUUAAGAGCUUGCUCUUAUGAAGUUAGCGGCGGACGGGUGAGUAACACGUGGGUAACCUGCCCAUAAGACUGGGAUAACUCCGGGAAACCGGGGCUAAUACCGGAUAACAUUUUGAACCGCAUGGUUCGAAAUUGAAAGGCGGCUUCGGCUGUCACUUGUGGAUGGACCCGCGUCGCAUUAGCUAGUUGGUGAGGUAACGGCUCACCAAGGCAACGAUGCGUAGCCGAGCGGGGAGGGUGAUGGGCCACACUGGGGCUGAGACACGGCCCAGACUGCUACGGGAGGCAGCAGUAGGGAAUCUUCCGCAAUGGACGAAAGUCUGACGGAGCAACGCCGCGUGGGUGAUGAAGGCUUGCGGGUCGUAAAACUCUGUUGUUAGGGAAGAACAAGUGCUAGUUGAAUAAGCUGGCACCUUGACGGUACCUAACCAGAAAGCCACGGCUAACUACGUGCCAGCCGCCGCCGUAA
rnacentral:rRNA from 1 species